ACAACUGCCACCGAGCAGUCCGCUGCGUGUA
rnacentral:sRNA from 1 species